GGUGUCCAGCCCAGCUUGUGUCUCUUUUAACGAGGGAGUCAUCUACAGGCGGCACGAAGGGCUCCCAGCUUUCUCUGGCAGUCCAAGCUCAACUGGAAUCGUGUCUCUGCCGGAUGGUAUUUCGGUAAUUACAGGCUGGACGGGCUGUUGAUGAAGAGGAGACCUGUUGACGGGAGGAAAACCACCGCCUGCUCCAAAACAAGUUUUCUUGUUUUUGAAUACAGUAGAUUUCUGCAUAAGAUGCUUAGAAAAGCUUGAGUUGUCAAGACAACCGUGGAGCCUGCAGAGACGUCACACACUGCCCUCUGCUGUGUGA